AACGCACAUUGCGCUUCCUGGUAUUCCGGGGAGCAUGCUCGUUUCAGAAUCAUUUUAAACUCAUCAAACUUUGGUGUUGGCCUAGCUAUAACCAAGGCGCGAUGGAUUUGGGCAUGCUUGCAGAGUGCUUGCACUUUUCAAUGGCCUUAAAACGAUUUGCAAGUGUAUGUCCUACACGUUGAAUGCGCAACAGAUUUUUUUGUACACAUUCAGCUUGUCAGGGUUUGCGGUUGCCUCCAAUUUGCAUACAGGCACCUUUCGGGGUGCUUGCAAACUUGGUCUGAAAUCGAGCAAGAAAACCCGCUGAACUUAA
rnacentral:misc_RNA from 1 species